CACCUGAUCCCAUCCCGAACUCAGAAGUGAAACGAAACAGCGUCGAUGGUAGUGUGGGGUCUCCCCAUGUGAGAGUAGAACAUCGCCAGGC
rnacentral:rRNA from 1 species